GACGAACCGUGCGAACGUUGUUCGGAAUCACUGGGCUUAAAGGGCGCGUAGGCGGCCCGCCGCGUCCGGGGUGAAAGCCCACGGCUCAACCGUGGAACGGCCCCGGGUACGGGCGGGCUGGAGGGGAGUAGGGGCGUGCGGAACUGUGCGUGGAGCGGUGAAAUGCGUUGAUAUGCACAGGAACUCCGGUGGCGAAGGCGGCACGCUGGGCUCUCUCUGACGCUGAGGCGCGAAAGCCAGGGGAGCGAACGGG
rnacentral:rRNA from 1 species